GCUUCUCUCAAUGGAAGUAUGUUCACUUU
rnacentral:piRNA from 1 species